GGCUUAAGAAUUAUGAGCAACACACGAAAACCAGCUGGAGAAAAGCUGCUACAUAUCCAAAUUGUGGAAAAAUUAAUAUUUACAAGGUUGAUCUACGUUGCAUUUAUCUUACAGAUAAAAGAGUCAAGGGAAUAAGAUCUACACGAAAUACAGAUUGUCCAGCAAAGCUUAAUAUUGUCAUUAAAAGGUAUAUAGCUAAAUCUAGAGCUAAAAAUGUAGACCAUCUUGUUGCUGAAUGGCCAGCUAUUGUAACAUUUAAGGCUACGCAUAAUCAUUGCAUUAUUAGUGCAGCAGUUUUAAAAUAUCGUGACAUGUCAGAUGAGACCAGGGCAAAACUUCAGAGCCUUUUUCGACAAGGUCAUAACCCUUCAUCGGCCUUGCAUUGUUUAAAAACAGAUUUGUUGCUGGAAAAUCCAGAAAAUUAUUAUGAAAUGGCAGCAGAUACUCAUUAUGUCCUGACAGUUUCUGUAGCACAUAAAUUGUUUGAAAAGGAGUUUUCAAAAGAGUAUGGAUGUUUUACAGUUUUUAGAUGACGUAAUUUGGACUGAUGAGGUAAAAUUUUCAAAAAAUGGUAUUUUUAACACACAUAAUCAAUCCCAUGCCAUGUUUGGAGUGAUUUAAAUCCUCAUGCUGUGAGAUCACAAAAUUAUGAAGAAGUGUGGCAGUUUAAUGUUUUUUGUGCUAUCAGAAAUAGUCGGAUCAUUAAAUUACACUUUUACGAAAAAAACU